GCGUGGAUGGUGUAGCGGUAACAUUGGGUCUUCCCACAUUAUGUGAUACCGUUGGCCUAGCUCCGGGUUCGACUCCCGGUUCACGCA